rnacentral:rRNA from 1 species
UCGACCUGAGAUCAGGCAAGGCUACCCGCUGAACUUAAGCAUAUCAAUAAGC